rnacentral:rRNA from 1 species
GAUGAACGCUAGCUACAGGCUUAACACAUGCAAGUCGAGGGGCAGCAUUUUAGUUUGCUUGCAAACUGAAGAUGGCGACCGGCGCACGGGUGAGUAACACGUAUCCAACCUGCCGAUAACUCCGGAAUAGCCUUUCGAAAGAAAGAUUAAUACCGGAUAGCAUACGAAUAUCGCAUGAUAUUUUUAUUAAAGAAUUUCGGUUAUCGAUGGGGAUGCGUUCCAUUAGUUUGUUGGCGGGGUAACGGCCCACCAAGACUACGAUGGAUAGGGGUUCUGAGAGGAAGGUCCCCCACAUUGGAACUGAGACACGGUCCAAACUCCUACGGGAGGCAGCAGUGAGGAAUAUUGGUCAAUGGGCGAGAGCCUGAACCAGCCAAGUAGCGUGAAGGAUGAAGGCUCUAUGGGUCGUAAACUUCUUUUAUAUGGGAAUAAAGUUUUCCACGUGUGGAAUUUUGUAUGUACCAUAUGAAUAAGGAUCGGCUAACUCCGUGCCAGCAGCCGCGGUAAUACGGAGGAUCCGAGCGUUAUCCGGAUUUAUUGGGUUUAAAGGGAGCGUAGGUGGAUUGUUAAGUCAGUUGUGAAAGUUUGCGGCUCAACCGUAAAAUUGCAGUUGAAACUGGCAGUCUUGAGUACAGUAGAGGUGGGCGGAAUUCGUGGUGUAGCGGUGAAAUGCUUAGAUAUCACGAAGAACUCCGAUUGCGAAGGCAGCUCACUAGACUG